rnacentral:rRNA from 2 species
CGCUGUGAAGAUGCAGUGUACCCGCGGCAAGACGGAAAGACCCCGUGAACCUUUACUAUAGCUUGACACUGAACAUUGAGCCUUGAUGUGUAGGAUAGGUGGGAGGCUUUGAAGUGUGGACGCCAGUCUGCAUGGAGCCGGCCUUGAAAUACCACCCUUUAAUGUUUGAUGUUCUAACGUGGACCCGUGAUCCGGGUUGCGGACAGUGUCUGGUGGGUAGUUUGACUGGGGCGGUCUCCUCCUAAAGAGUAACGGAGGAGCACGAAGGUUGGCUAAUCCUGGUCGGACAUCAGGAGGUUAGUGCAAUGGCAUAAGCCAGCUUGACUGCGAGCGUGACGGCGCGAGCAGGUGCGAAAGCAGGUCAUAGUGAUCCGGUGGUUCUGAAUGGAAGGGCCAUCGCUCAACGGAUAAAAGGUACUCCGGGGAUAACAGGCUGAUACCGCCCAAGAGUUCAUAUCGACGGCGGUGUUUGGCACCUCGAUGUCGGCUCAUCACAUCCUGGGGCUGAAGUAGGUCCCAAGGGUAUGGCUGUUCGCCAUUUAAAGUGGUACGCGAGCUGGGUUUAGAACGUCGUGAGACAGUUCGGUCCCUAUCUGCCGUGGGCGCUGGAGAACUGAGGGGGGCUGCUCCUAGUACGAGAGGACCGGAGUGGACGCAUCACUGGUGUUCGGGUUGUCAUGCCAAUGGCACUGCCCGGUAGCUAAAUGCGGAAGAGAUAAGUGCUGAAAGCAUCUAAGCACGAAACUUGCCCCGAGAUGAGUUCUCCCUGAGACUUAGAGUCUCCUGAAGGAACGUUGAAGACGACGACGUUGAUAGGCCGGGUGUGUAAGCGCAGCGAUGCGUUGAGCUAACCGGUACUAAUGAACCGUGAGGCUUAACCUUACAACGCCGAAG